rnacentral:rRNA from 1 species
GAUGAACGCUGGCGGCAUGCCUAACACAUGCAAGUCGGACGGGAAGCAUCUUCGUGGUGUUUCCAGUGGCGGACGGGUGAGUAACGCGUAAGAACUUGCCCUUGGGAGGGGGACAACAACUGGAAACGGCUGCUAAUACCCCGUAAGCUGAGGAGCAAAAGGGAGGGAUCCGCCGGGCUUGCGUCUGAUUAGCUGGUUGGUGAGGCAAUGGCUUACCAAGGCGACGAUCAGUAGCUGGUCUGAGAGGAUGAUCAGCCACACUGGGACUGAGACACGG